UACGGAGGGUGCAAGCGUUAUCCGGAUUCACUGGGUUUAAAGGGUGCGUAGGCGGGUUGGUAAGUCAGCGGUGAAAUCCCCGAGCUUAACUUGGGAACUGCCGUUGAUACUAUCAAUCUUGAAUAUCGUGGAGGUAAGCGGAAUAUGUCAUGUAGCGGUGAAAUGCUUAGAUAUGACAUAGAACACCAAUUGCGGAGGCAGCUUACUACACGAUCAUUGACGCUGAGGCACGAAAGCGUGGGGAGCAAACAGG
rnacentral:rRNA from 1 species